rnacentral:rRNA from 1 species
AUUGAACGCUGGCGGCAGGCUUAACACAUGCAAGUCGAGCGGGGAAAGGUAGCUUGCUACUGGACCUAGCGGCGGACGGGUGAGUAAUGCUUAGGAAUCUGCCUAUUAGUGGGGGACAACAUCUCGAAAGGGAUGCUAAUACCGCAUACGUCCUACGGGAGAAAGCAGGGGAUCUUCGGACCUUGCGCUAAUAGAUGAGCUUAAGUCGGAUUAGCUAGUUGGUUGGGUAAAGGCCUACCAAGGCGACGAUCUGUAGCGGGUCUGAGAGGAUGAUCCGCCACACUGGGACUGAGACACGGCCCAGACUCCUACGGGAGGCAGCAGUGGGGAAUAUUGGACAAUGGGGGGAACCCUGAUCCAGCCAUGCCGCGUGUGUGAAGAAGGCCUUAUGGUUGUAAAGCACUUUAAGCGAGGAGGAGGCUACUCUAGUUAAUACCUAGGGAUAGUGGACGUUACUCGCAGAACAAGCACCGGCUAACUCUGUGCCAGCCGCCGCCGUAA